rnacentral:rRNA from 1 species
UACAGAGGAGCCAAGCGUUGUCCGGAUUGACUGGGCGUAAAGCGCACGCAGGCGGACGCGCGCGUGGGGUGUGAAAUCUGGCCGCUUAACGGCCAGGCGCCAUCCCAUACGGCGCGUCUGGAGUGAUGCAGAGGUCGGUGGAAUUGCCGGUGUAGUGGUGAAAUGCGUAGAUAUCAGGAGGAACACCGGUGGCGAAGGCGGUUCUCUGGGCAUUACCUGACGCUGAGGAGCGAAAGUGUGGGGAGCGAACAGG